UCAACCUAAUUGAGAAAGAGAACAAGAACAAAAAAAGGCACUAGUAUGAGUGACCCUCUAUUUACAUGAAUAAGUACCUUAUGAUUUGCAAAAAUCAGAGGCAUUACCUUUGCGCUGACUGACGCAUGUUUCUGAAGGAACUUGUUGCCGCUGGAAACUGUUGAGUCCUUUGGAGUUGCUUUGUUCUGAUAGAAUGUUAUGUGAAUGCAGUGUCAGAGAAGAAGACGAAAGAUGAAAACAAAUGCAACAAGGCGGAGAAGCUAAACUUACCAGUUGUAUUUGGCUUGUAAUGCGCUGCUCAAACUCCUCAACGACCUUAUUCAGAACUGAUUCCACAAGCUGCAGCAAGUACAACAUUGCUGUAUCUUAGAACAACGGCACUAGAUACCAAAAUACGAUGCACUGUAGUGGCAGACGGCUUGAUCACAGUUUACCCCGGGAACGAGAAACUUGACGCUUGGACAAGUGUUUCUUUUGCAACUACAAGAAUCUAGACGGAAAAUUUAUCUGAAUACAGCAAGAAAUUUACUGAAUUUCAACUUACAUUCGGAACUUCUUCAGGUUUCUUAUCAAUCAGAAUUGCACGAACAAGGUUGCUCAACGAAGAGCUGGACUGUGAAAGAGAAGAUUUAAUCGAUGAAUCAUGCCAUUGAACCGUUAUUGGUGAUGCAUGAAAUGUUCGUCAAGCAGAGUCUACCUACCAUUUUGUUACUUUCAGCGUCAGUGCAUACGCCAUUUGCAGAUUUCUCAUUCAUCGACAUACUCCUUGACAGAGAACUUGAGAAUGGCUCAGAAUUUUUGCGCACGAAUUGUUUUGCUGAUGUUGUAGAUUUCACAUUUCCACCAAAUUUCCAGACUCCAGGCCCACCUGUCUGCUUCCACUCGCCGUAGGCUUUAAGUCCCAAAACACAGUUGACAACUCUCGACGAUUUUCCACCCUGAUAAUUAUAUGAAAAGAAUGCAGCUUUAUCAGUGAAUGCGCGAGAAUGACAAUGCAUCACCACUAAGACUCAAAACCUUUGUACUCAAAUUUCUAUUAGACAUACCGAUAUUUCAGUAAAUAGGUAACAGACCUUGCAUUACUAUGAGUAAAGGGAAGCCUGGUGCACUAAAGCUCCCGCUAUG